UUGCAUGGCAGUGGAGCCUUGCCUACAGCGGCCCACGGCGAUUGGUCACGCUUCACCAGUGGACGUACACGUCUUGCUAGCCUUGCAUUUCUACGUCAACGGCAGCUUCCAGUCCACAGACGUCUUUUGCCUGUGGCUGCAGAGCACAUUCGAUUCCCGAUGACGCCGACGGCUGCUAAUAUCGUUGUGCCAUCGAUCGCAGACUAUAGUAAGGUCCUGGAAUCCAUCGAUUGCAAGCACUGGAAAAUCAAGCCACCUUAUGACUUGGAGCACAUGUACAGAAAUAGGAAGGACUUGUGCUCCCUAAAUGUACAAGUCUUUUGCAACGGUAGGGGUGUCAUCAUCCAGCCGACCUCAAAGGGGCCUGGAAGCACGCAUGGCAGCCUCAUCUGGAUGGACUGUGCUCUGCCUGGGAGCUUCAAGGGCAGAAAACUGCCUAAUGGCUGGUUGCUAGGUGACUUUCCCUAUGCCUGAGAGCCAUGGGUGCUCACCCUCCUGUCCGUGGCUGGCCCAGCUAAGCAGCAGUGCAGUGCAGCCCCCACCCAUGCAAGACAAGUCAUACAGUGCACCUUUGGUGUUCUGAGCACGACACAGCAUAUCCGUCCGGCAUGACAUUGACAGCAAUAGUGAUGAUGCAGUACCACGGGAUCAGGUGCCUCACUGUCAUCUAAUUGUACAGUGUAUCUCGGACAAAACGCACAAGGCCAACAAGUAGACAGCGACUACCAGUGACUGUG